UGGCCGUAAACGAUGUGGACUUGGUGUUGGAAUGGCUCCGAGCUGCUCCAGUGCCGAAGGGAAGCUGUUAAGUCCACCGCCUGGGAAGUACGGUCGCAAGACUGAAACUUAAGGAUUGGCGGGGUAGCACCACAACGCGUGGAGCCUGCGGUUUAAUUGGAUUCAACGCCGGACAUCUCACCAGGGGGCGACAGCAGAAUGAUGGCCAGGUUNAUGACCUUGCUUGACAAGCUGAGAGGAGGUGCAUGGCGUGUGACUGU
rnacentral:rRNA from 1 species